GACGAACGCUGGCGGCGUGCUUAACACAUGCAAGUCGAACGGUAAGGCCCUUCGGGGUACACGAGUGGCGAACGGGUGAGUAACACGUGGGUGAUCUGCCCUGCACUUCGGGAUAAGCCUGGGAAACUGGGUCUAAUACCGGAUAGGACCAUGGACUUCACGGUUUGUGGUGGAAAGCUUUUGCGGUGUGGGAUGGGCCCGCGGCCUAUCAGCUUGUUGGUGGGGUAAUGGCCUACCAAGGCGACGACGGGUAGCCGGCCUGAGAGGGUGUCCGGCCACACUGGGACUGAGAUACGGCCCAGACUCCUACGGGAGGCAGCAGUGGGGAAUAUUGCACAAUGGGCGCAAGCCUGAUGCAGCGACGCCGCGUGAGGGAUGACGGCCUCGGUUGUAACCGUCUUCAUAGGACGAAGCGCAA
rnacentral:rRNA from 1 species